rnacentral:rRNA from 1 species
UACGAAGGGGGCUAGCGUUGCUCGGAAUCACUGGGCGUAAAGGGUGCGUAGGCGGGUCUUUAAGUCAGGGGUGAAAUCCUGGAGCUCAACUCCAGAACUGCCUUUGAUACUGAGGAUCUUGAGUUCGGGAGAGGUGAGUGGAACUGCGAGUGUAGAGGUGAAAUUCGUAGAUACUCGCAAGAACACCAGUGGCGAAGGCGGCUCACUGGCCCGAUACUGACGCUGAGGCACGAAAGCGUGGGGAGCAAACAGG